AACGGCCAUACCAUGCUGAAUAUACCGGUUCUCGUUCGAUCACCGAAGUCAAGCAUCAUUGGGCGCGGUCAGUGCUUGGGUGGGUGGGUGACCACUUGGGAACACCGCGUGCCGUU